rnacentral:lncRNA from 10 species
UGGAAUUUGGGAAGAUUUACAUAUACAGGAUGAGAUAUCUUAAGAAUGAAACCCAAGUCUAAACACAAAAUUCAUUUAUAUUUCAUAUAUAUUGAUACAUAUAGCUUAAAGGUAAUUUUAUAUAAUGUCUUCAAUAACUUUGUGCAAAUGAAGCUUCGACUGCUUUUUCACUGUGCCUAGUCACAUGAGGUUAUGAGAGACAGGACUAGCUGGCUUUCAUAGGCCGACUAAGAAUCCUUAAGCCUAGCUGGGAAGGUGACCGCAUCCACUUUUAAACACGGCACUUGCAACUUAGCUCACAUCUAACCAGUUAGACAGCUCACUAAAAUGCUAAUUAGGCAAAAACAGGAGGUAAAGAAAUAGCCAAUCAUCUAUUGCCUGAGAGCACAGCAUGAGGGACAAGGAUCAGGAUAUAAACCCAGGCAUUCAAGCCUGCAACGGCAACCCCCUUUGGGUCUCCUCCCUUUGUAUGGGAGCUCUGUUUUCACUCUAUUUCACUCUAUUAAAUCUUGCAACUGCACUCUUCUGGUCCAUGUUUGUUACAGCUCGAGCUGAGCUUUCACUCACCGUCCACCACUGCUGUUUGCUGCCGUCGCAGACCUGCCGCUGACUCCCAUCCCUCCGGAUCCGGCAGGGUGUCCACUGUGCUUCUGAUCCAGCGAGGCGCCCAUUGCUGCUCCUGAUUGGGCUAAAGGCUUGCCGUUGUUCCUGCACGGCUAAGUGCCCGGGUUCGUCCUAAUCAAGCUAAACAGUAGUCACUGGGUUCCACGGUUCUCUUCCGUGACCCACGGCUUCUGACAGAGCUAUAACACUCACCACAUGGCCCAAGAUUCCAUUCCUUGGAAUCUGUGAGGCCAAGAACCCCAGGUUAGAGAACCUGAGGCUUGCCACCAUCUUAGAAGCGGCUUGCCACCAUCUUGGAAGUGGCUCGCCACCAUUUUGGCAACCAGGAAGGGACCUCCAAAGCGACCUGCCACUGACUCCCAUCCCUCCGGAUCCGGCAGGCUGUCCGCUGUGCUCCUGAACCAGCGAGGCACCCAUUGCCAAUCCUGAUUGGGCUAAAGGCUUGCCGUUGUUCCUGCACGGCUAAGUGCCCAGGUUCAUCCUAAUUGAGCUGAACACUAGUCACUGGGUUCCACGGUUCUCUUCCAUGACCCAUGGCUUCUAAUAGAGCUAUAACACUCACCGCACGGCCCAAGAUUCCAUUCCUUGGAAUCUGUGAGGCCAAGAACCCCAGGUCAGAGAACACGAGGCUAGCCACCAUCUUGGAAGUGGCCUACCACCAUCUUGGAAGUGGCUCGCCACCAUCUGAGGAGCUCUGUGAGCAAGGACCCCCGGGAGAAAGCAUUUAUGGUGAGGAGAAAAGCAGCUGGUAUCACACUCUACCCAAGUCCCAAAAGCAGGUUCACAUAACUCCUGUCUUCAUUAUCUGAUAUCCGGGACUUUUUCCCUUUCACCUUCCAUUAUAGGAUGAUGCAGCAAGAAGGCCCUCACCAGAUACCAGUCCUUUGAUCUUGGACUACCCAGGCUUCAGAACUAUAAGAAAUAAAUCUCCGUUCUUUGAGGAUUACCCAGUUUGUGCUAUUCUGUUAUGGCAGCACAAAAUGGACUAAGACAUAGGUCCAAUCUAAGGCCUAUCUCCCAGAGGACACCUCAUAGCUGUGAAUGAAUGAGCACUAAGUAAGCCAGCAUCUGCCUUUUUUGUUCUGGAAAUCCCACUGUUUAUAAGAUUUCAAACUAUUGCACAUCUCUGGUAAUCUUUUCUCCUUGUUUCUCUCUCUACAAGGUCAAACAGACCUGUACAUUUUCAACUGACUCUACUGGUUCCUUUUAUUUUAUUUUACAUGCUAACUUUGAUGCUUCCCCUUGCUAUUGAGGGACAAUUUAGAAUAAUGAUUAAAGGGAAUAUUUUACAACCAGAAAUUAUAUGUCCUAAUUCCCAUUCUUACCUAUUAGUCAGUGUGUAUCUUUGCUUCUACUCCUAAUUCGCAAAAUGGAGAUAAAAUUGUAAACUGGACUCUCAGGGUAGGUGUAAGAAGCAG